CACUGUCACAGCCACCAUGGCACUGUCACAGUCACUGUGGUAUUACCACAGCCACCAUGGUAUCACCACGGUCACCGUGGCACCAUCACAGCCACCGUGGCACCAUCACAGCCACCGUGGCACUGCCACAACCCUGACAGGAAAGGCAGCUGCCCCUCCUGGCCCCUGCAGCACCAGGAAUGAUUUCCCUGGCACAGCACAUGCCGAGGCUCAUCACAGACCACGGCCAGCAGAAUCCAGUCCCACAUCAAUCAACACUGCCCAGGGAGCCAGGAUGCUGUGGCACAUCCUGCCCCUCAAGCCCAGGGACUCGUUCCUUCAAGGUCUCAUGCAUUUACCAUGGGAAUCAACCAGAAAAACCCCUCCUGUUUUAUUACAGAGUGUGAUUUUUUUUUUUUUUGCCCAAAGAAAGAAUUGAUAUUGCCAACCACUCUGCAGCAAAUUAAACCCAGCUGGGUGCAGGGAGGGCAUUGCAAUGGAAAUGGGAUUUUUAUCGAUCCCUCACUCCCUGAAGGCAGCUGUAAUCCCUCUCCAACUGUGUUCAGCAGCUGCAGAGCUCAUUUCCAGGCACCAAACCAAACACUGGAGGAAACAGGGACACGCUCAGGGCUUCAAGUUGCAGAUAAUAAAACACUCUGAGCUGCAGGGACCUUAAAGUUCAUCCUGUUCCAAACCCUGUUGUGGGCAGGGACACCUUCCACUAUCCCAGGGUGCUCCAAGCCCCGUCCAACCUGGCCUUGGACACUUCCAGGAUGGGGCAGCAUCUCCCAUCCAAGGUUUGGAUGAUGCUCAUGGCUGGGCAGUGGCACCACUUGCUCCUCAAUAAAAUAAUUAUACUUCUACUAAAGGUUAAAACCCCAAAAGGGAAGAAGCAGUGGGAUGGCAGGCUGUGUUCCUUUUGGCCUAUUUGUUUUGCAACAUUGGAGACCGACACUCAUGAGUCUGCUCCUGUAAUUGCUUGUGCUGAUGAAUCUGCAUUGUUUAAUUAGGGCUGUGCAUGAAGCUCAUCGUUAAUGGAUAAUUGCUGAUUUGCUGCUAUCAAUUCUUCCUCAAUAAACUUAUUCUCCUAUCUUUUA